UACGUAUGGUGCAAGCGUUAUCCGGAUUUACUGGGUGUAAAGGGAGCGCAGGCGGCACGGCAAGCCUGAUGUGAAAGCCCGCGGCCCAACCGCGGGACUGCAUAGGGAACUACCGGGCUGGAGUGCCGGAGAGGUAGGCGGAAUUCCUAGUGUAGCGGUGAAAUGCGUAGAUAUUAGGAGGAACACCAGUGGCGAAGGCGGCCUACUGGACGGUGACUGACGCUGAGGCUCGAAAGCGUGGGGAGCAAACAGG
rnacentral:rRNA from 1 species